rnacentral:rRNA from 1 species
UUUAACAUGAGAGUUUGAUCCUGGCUCAGGAUGAACGCUGGCGGCGUGCUUAACACAUGCAAGUCGAACGAAGCUAUUAAAAGGAAGUUUUCGGAUGGAAUUUUAAUAGACUUAGUGGCGGACGGGUGAGUAACGCGUGGAUAACCUGCCUUAUAC